UCACCCAAUGUCAUACACCAUACUUACCUUUGUUCCUGUGUUUGUUUUUGGACAUUCAUUUAAUGUCCAUAUUACUUCCUCAUCAAAGUCAGGAUAAAGUCAUGUUUGCAUAUAAUGUCAACUUUUCACACAAAUAAGUUUAAAUCUUUUUUUCUUUUAUUGUAUGUAAUAGAUUUAGUUCAAUCUCAGGCAUGUGAGCAGAGAUUUUCCUCUUGACCAAUUUGAGAAGUUUGGCAAGCAGGACCAUUAAAACCUUUAAGAUUUAUUACCAGAGAUGGACUGUAACAGUCCUUCCAAAAGGAAAAUAAUAUCUCUGGCAGAUGUUUUAUUGGGCAAUUAAACCACAGUGGUCACUGCAAUCUUGUUUCAUAGUAAUAUUAUGACUCUCAAAGUUAUAAACAGCAUGAUCUUAUAUGGAGAAAACAUUAAAUAUAGCACAGCGAGCUCUUCUGUUUGUACUGAGGUUUAGGUCACUCAUCCAGGCCACAGUGAAGACUUAUCUGACCCAUCAUGACACCACGAUGAUCUCUCUCGUCACGGCUCUUGGCUCUCAGCUUGUUGACCUGGGACUCAGCGAUGUCAGAGCGCUCCUGAGCCUCCUCCAGCUCAUGCUGCACCUUCCUGUACCUGGACAGGUGAGUGUUGGCCU